ACCCCUGUCAACAUCUCUUCCAGACAUACUGCAACUGUUUCAGUCCCAGGGACGGAUAAUCUCUGCCUGCACAUCUGCAAAAACGUUUAAUCUUGUCGGCUAGCACAGGGAUUACUGUGAUUCAAUGCACUGUUAUGUCCGCAGGAUUCAACAGUGGGAACAUGCUAAGGAAGAUGUUGUUAUUGUUGUCGCCGCUCCUCAAAGCCUGCUCCUUGUUGGCGGUUGCCUCUUGUGAAGACUAUGCUGCAAGCAGAAGUAUCAACAGCAGGCUAGCCUUCAUUAACGCUUGUAUUUGUAUUUCUCUGCUUCAAGUACAGUAAAUUAUUCUAUGAGG